UACGAAGGGGGCUAGCGUUGCUCGGAAUCACUGGGCGUAAAGGGUGCGUAGGCGGGUCUUUAAGUCAGGGGUGAAAUCCUGGAGCUCAACUCCAGAACUGCCUUUGAUACUGAAGAUCUUGAGUUCGGGAGAGGUGAGUGGAACUGCGAGUGUAGAGGUGAAAUUCGUAGAUAUUCGCAAGAGCACCGGUGGCGAAGGCGGCUCUCUGGACCGAGACUGACGCUGAGGCGCGAAAGCGUGGGGAGCAAACAGG
rnacentral:rRNA from 1 species